UAACCUUUAUGCAAUUAAAAAAGAAACAAAGGAAUGAAUGAAAACCAAUUUAUGCUAGCAAAAUAACGAUCGUUAGAAUUAUGCUCGGGUUUGGCUUGAGUUGCCUUGUUUGGAACAAUGCUCUAUUGUCUAAAAUCCUAGACAUUAUAUAUAAAUUCAGCAACAAAGAACAUUGAGUCGAAAGAAUUUCACAAAUGCAUACUCAUCCAUUUUGAAAUACCAGAAGCAUAGACAGCUCAAAACGGUGGUGGACGUUUAGCAGUUGGCUAAGUAACAUUCAGAUGAAAACAUAAAGAAAAAGGCGG